UACGGAGGGAGCUAGCGUUGUUCGGAAUUACUGGGCGUAAAGCGCACGUAGGCGGCUAUUCAAGUCAGAGGUGAAAGCCCAGGGCUCAACCUUGGAACUGCCUUUGAAACUAGAUAGCUAGAAUCCUGGAGAGGCGAGUGGAAUUCCGAGUGUAGAGGUGAAAUUCGUAGAUAUUCGGAAGAACACCAGUGGCGAAGGCGACUCGCUGGACAGGUAUUGACGCUGAGGUGCGAAAGCAUGGGGAGCAAACAGG
rnacentral:rRNA from 1 species